AGUCGAACGGAAAGGCCCCUUCGGGGGUACUCGAGUGGCGAACGGGUGAGUAACACGUGGGUGAUCUGCCCUGCACUUUGGGAUAAGCCUGGGAAACUGGGUCUAAUACCGAAUAGGACCGCAUGCUUCAUGGUGUGUGGUGGAAAGCUUUUGCGGUGUGGGAUGGGCCCGCGGCCUAUCAGCUUGUUGGUGGGGUAAUGGCCUACCAAGGCGACGACGGGUAGCCGGCCUGAGAGGGUGUCCGGCCACACUGGGACUGAGAUACGGCCCAGACUCCUACGGGAGGCAGCAGUGGGGAAUAUUGCACAAUGGGCGCAAGCCUGAUGCAGCGACGCCGCGUGGGGGAUGACGGCCUUCGGGUUGUAAACCUCUUUCAGUAUCGGCGAAGCUCCAGGAUUUUUCUUGGGGUGACGGUAGGUACAGAAGAAGCACCGGCCAACUACGUGCCAGCAGCCGCGGUAAUACGUAGGGUGCGAGCGUUGUCCGGAAUUACUGGGCGUAAAGAGCUCGUAGGUGGUUUGUCACGUUGUCCGUGAAAACUCACAGCUUAACUGUGGGCGUGCGGGCGAUACGGGCAGACUAGAGUACUGUAGGGGAGACUGGAAUUCCUGGUGUAGCGGUGGAAUGCGCAGAUAUCAGGAGGAACACCGGUGGCGAAGGCGGGUCUCUGGGCAGUAACUGACGCUGAGGAGCGAAAGCGUGGGGAGCGAACAGGAUUAGAUACCCUGGUAGUCCACGCCGUAAACGGUGGGUACUAGGUGUGGGUUUCCUUCCUUUAGGGAUCCGUGCCGUAGCUAACGCAUUAAGUACCCCGCCUGGUGAGUACGGCCGCAAGGCUAAAACUCAAGAGAAUUGCC
rnacentral:rRNA from 1 species